rnacentral:lncRNA from 1 species
GAGGAGCGAGAUGCUCCCAGCUGGUGAAGGGCUCCCUAUAGAUCCACCACCGUCCCUCUGGGUGGCCUUCAGGUGUUCACCCAACCUCGCUGAACCCUGAUAUCUCACUUGACACACAGGCAUAAUCCCUGCCCCCACCUCUGGGCUGAUGUGGAAACUAAAGGGAGUCUUACGUGAACGACACUGUGACAACAAGACAAAUUCCAAAGGCUCCAUCCAUCAUGAAGACUUCCCCUCCUGCAUGCCUCUGACUGCCUCCUGAAUGUUAAUAGCCUGCCCUGGAGAGUAAGGAGUGACUCGCUUGUGUCUGUCUACCAGACCCCACUGUGGAUGGGGGCAGGAGGCUGGAUCUCGUUUGUCUUUCACCUUGACUUUGGCCACUGUGUGCAGCACAGUCCCUGGCACAUGACAGAUGCUCGAUACAUGUCUGAUGAAUGAGAAUGUGCUAUUCAGUGUCUAGAGGUGGGCGAAGGGAUCCGUGCUAAGGUCCACAGCAAGAGCCCCCAUUGAGCGAGCUGGCAAGGUGGGUGGGACACCACGGGAGCACGAGAGAGUCUGAGGCUCCCUGGAGAGCCCAGCCCCUCCUCUCCAUCUUCCUGCAUUCAGAACACUUUGGAGGAACUGGAUGGAGUCUUGGAAGCAAUUGCUUCUUAUCUCUGAAAUUGCUUCCUCUUGUCUUCUGGGCAAGGGCAGCAGAGAGCCCCAGCUGGUUAAUAUCCAGCCCGCCGGUCGGAGUGAUUGCUCAUCAAACCCCAGAACCCAGAACGAGUUCAGGAGGGACUGUGGUCAGCCGUGGCCACGGAGGUCUCAGACAAACGGCUGCCCAGCGGAUCGGCCCACAUUAAGCGACAAACAUGAUUAAAGUCCAGAAAAUAGGACCUGUGAGGAAAGGAUGAAGCCAUCUGUUUGAUUUAUUGUGGAGGAGAACAAAUAACAAUUGCAAGUCGGUGGAAAUUUUUUACAAGAAGGAUGGCGACGCCCAGCACGAUGAGGCCAAAACAGGAAGAGAAGGGCUCAGAUGGCCUCACGGGGCCGGUCAGACGUAGGGAGGCAGGGCUUUCCCACUGCCCGGCGAUCAGCACAGCCAGGGGUGGAUGGUUUCCCAGAAGCAGCCUUGGAAUCUGACUUUCAGGGUAAAAAUGAUGACCCCCAAGUCUAGCAGAGAAACCUGACAAUUUUUGCAUCUGGGGCUGAAAAAAAGUGACAGUGAUGAGCUUGAAUAUUUCUCCCUUCUGAGCAGAUCCAGGACUCCAGGAUAAUCCGACAGACAAGGUGUGAAGGGAAGAGGAUCCAAAGAGAAUGCCAGACCCUAGUCUUUGAUGAGGCAAAGCCCACCCAAGGGUUCUCCUUCUGGCCCUGGGGCAUGAAUGAGCCUGCGGCGAGGUGACAAGGCUCUCACUAUGUCUUAAUCAGUUAAUGACAGAAAGCCAAAAUCAAUGGAUUGUGACUGGGGUAACUAGUGUGCUUGCAACAAAGAGGAACUGUGUUUUUCAGCAUGGAGUUUUACCAAUUAAUUCAUCAGUGAACAUCUCGUGGUUUCCUGUCUUGAUCAGGAACCAUGAGUAGAUACAAAGAGUGUGUGUUGCAUCUGUUGAAAAGAAGUGAAUCUGUUAAAAAUAAAAACACUUAUCACAGAUAGAAAAGGCAUCUUCUGAUACACAGCUCAAUAGAAAACACUCGUUUUAAAAUUUGCUUAGGUUCUGUAGUAAUUUACAUUAAGAUACAGGGAGACGCAGAGACAUGGAAAUGCCUGUCAUGAAGGAAGAAGCUCUGAUGUUCUCAGAUGCCUAGAAUCAGAAGGCACAGCAAGAAGAAGGGCCACAGGGCCAAGCGCCAGGGUGCAUCAGGAGGCAGGGGGGUGAGGGAGAAGCUCGGUUACGAGCCCUUAUUGGGGUUUCUGCAGGAAAGGCAAGGUGAGGCCGGGUAAGCAGAUGAGGAUGGGCUGGUUUGAAUACGUUCAGUGGGCCUUGAGGCACAGGGCCUGUCCCGAGUCAGCUGGUACCUGACCUUCCAGUGAAUAAGGCAGGUGGAUAGUGGUCCAGAGUAUUAAGAGACCACAGAGGAAGUGGGGAGAGGGAUGUGGGCUCCGGAUCGGGGAGUUUGCCUCUGACAUGCGUGCUCACAGACCAGUCACUCAUGAUCCCGGGGGUGGGGGGCAGUGACUCCCCCUGGUCAGCAUGGCCCCAGAUACCUGAGCAUCAGGAAUAUGGAAAAUAAAAAAAUAGACUUAAUACCACUCUACAUCCAAAGUGUAGAGUACAGACGCAGUUCACAAUCGUGUGGAUGUUGGUGGACAGCUGGAAAUGAGUGAACUUUAGGGAGGUGAAAAAAUAUUUUAGGCAAAGCCAUACAAAAGAAAAAAAUAGACCAGCAAGUUUAGAGGAAUGGGACAAGGGGACAGAGAACAGGGAUUAAAACUCAUGCCUCCUGCCCCCUCCUUCUUUCUGCUUCCCACUGGGUGGAGAGGGCAAAGUCACCGGGAAGCUAUGAUCUGUAAAGCAUGCCCUGGAGGAAGAAUGGUUUUUCCAGCAAGGAUGCAUGCUUGCUAAGGAUGCUACUAGGAAGGGUUUCUCCCCACGGUGGACCAAGAGAUGUUCCAAGGUCACGGAUACCAGUCCUAACCCAGCUGUCUUCCAAGUCUGCGGAACCACUGGAAGUGGAUCGGGUUCAGUGCUUACUGAACCUGCCCCAGCUGGACCCAUGACGGAGAGCUGCUUGGCUGCCAGUGGGUCGUGUUAUCAGCAGAACCUUCUCUACUGCCUCUGCUGACAUCACUGCCGACGGUCAGAUGGUCCUCCGUGACAGCUGCCCUUGACUUCCCUCCUUCCAGAGAUAAUAAAUAUGGUUGACAGUGUUUUGUCAACUACAACAGCCUAAGUCAUUUUCAGAGCCAGCUCAUUCAUUUGAUGUUCAGUUUAUUGAACACCUGCUAGAUCAAGCCAUUGUGCUAGGUGCUGAGACACAGCAAUGAACAUGAGAAACACAGGUCGUGCCCUUGUUUAGAAGAGAAAGAAGGAUGAUAAGUAAACAAAAUAAUUAGUUUAGUUAAUUACACAUUGUGUAAAUGCAGUGGCAGAAAUCAACAGGGAUGUGUGGCAGAGAAUUAAUAAGGUACACCUAUUUGGAGAGAUCAGGUUUGGCCUCUCCAGGGGGAAGUCAUUUAAAUUGAGAGCACAAGCUGAGAGGAAGCCAGCCUGUGCAAGGCAGAGAAGGUGCCCUCCGCACAGAUGGAGCUACAAGCACACAGGCCCCAAGGCUGGAAGAACAGGACUUGUUCUAGGAACUGAACUCUGAGGAACAUCAAGGAAUUUGGAUUUUAUUCCAAGGGCAGUGGGAGGAUUUGAAGCAGGGGCAUGAUGUGAUGAAAUUAAUGUUUUUUAAAAAGGCAAGUUUGGCAGCUCUACAGAAAAUGAAUUUUGGGGAGAAAGAUGGAAAGCAGAACAAUCAGCUGGGAGGCUGCUGAAUGGUGUGGAUGAGAGAGGAGGGCCUCCUGGACAGCAGGUGGGCUCAGGGUGUACUGCCGGGUACCAGACCCCUCACUGAAGAAGGUCAUGCAGGGGUGGGGGCAGUCAGGGAAGAAGGAUCAAGCUAACACGAGGAUUAGAUAUUGGUUGGAGGCGCCAUUUUUGAGAUGGAGAAGGCUGGGGAGUUAGUUGUUGUGAGGACAUUAUCAAGAGAAUCAUCAUCAAUUAAUGAGAAUUAUUACUGAUUAUUAAUGACGUUUGGCCCCAACUCAGGUCUCAGAAAGAUACCGUUAGUAUCAACAUUCGGUUUGGCCCUAAUGCAUCACCUUCUCUCCACCCAAACAUCCACAUCCCCAUCUUUGACUCAAGAGUACAAUUUCUCAACCUCAACACUGGGGACACCCAGGAGUAGAAAAUUCUUAUUGUGGGGGACUGUCCCGAGCACUGCAGGAUAUUGAGCAGCAUCCCUGGCCUCCACCCACUAGAGGGCAGCAGCGUCCUCUCCCCCAGUUCUGACAAUCAUAAACAUCUCCAGAUGGCGCACGCGUCCCCUCAUGGCCCAGUGGGUCCUGCUUGAGAGCCACCAGAGGGAUGGGUCUGGACAGGGGACCUGAGAAGAGGGUGGAAAACGGCACCUGCGAAGGACAGACGCCUGCCCGCAGUGCGGGAAUUUCUGUAGUUUGUCUGUCCCGCCGCUUCCGGGAAACAAGCAAUCUGGGGCUGGGAGAAGGCCUCCGGCAGCUGCCAAAACCCGCACCAAGGAAAUGCAGAGCAUCCAGGCCAGGUGUUGCCCCGUGAUUUCCUCAUUUAAUCCCCAUGACCACUCAUUCCACAUACAGCAAAGCAGAGGCUUACAGACCUUGAGCUGCAUGCCUCUGACAAUGGGGUCACUGAGUGGUGGGGGCCGUUGACGCCGGACCCUGUGCUUGUCCCUUGUUGUCACAGUUGCCUGUCCUGGGGACUGUGCCACAACUCACAAUAGCCCCUGUGUCCCAGGAUGCUCUGGCUUCAGAGGGGAAAAGGCAGGAUCUGUGACCCUUUCUCAUGCCACCAUUACACUCCUGUUCUGCCGACUUGCCCCUCAGGCCCAGGCCUGUGGAAACUCAUUGAUGAGGGUCCUGUGUCACCACUAGAAGACCCUAUGGGAGGGACUUUGGCUGCUGACCCUCACAGUCCAGCCACCACUUCACCACCACCACCACCAGGAUCCCUACCAGCCACCUAGGCUGGUCUCAGCUCAGUCUCCCAAGAACGCCCAGUCUCAUCAUUAUUGAAAGACAGCAACCUUCCAGCUGGACAAGACAGCUCAUCAAAUUUUAAAUAACUCAACAACACUUGAGUCUCUUGCUAAUAAGGUCUAAAGCAGGCAUAAUCCCCAUAAUGCCCUCACCUUGGCACAAGAUGCCCUAGCAAGCCCUCCUCCCCAAAUACACCCCACUAGGCAUUUCAUGUUUGAGCCUCAGGGGCUCUGUGCAGAGGCUCGACGGCUGAGUCCCCCAAGGGAGGAGAUGGGCAAUGGCUCCCUCCACUUCUUGACAGUGAUUUUCAAGCAAUCCAGUCCAAGAACUAUAUCACAGCGACAAAGGGCUAGUCCGUUAGUUCCUGGAGAACCAUCUGAUACUCUGUAGUACAGUUCCUGACAAAUCCCCCUGCAGGCAUUCUGUGAAAUGUUUGCUAAACUGAUGAAUUGAUGGAGAGACAGAAGGAUGAAUGAAUGCAUCAGAUGGUGAAUGGAUGGAUGCGAAGGAGGGAAGGAAGGAAGGAGGGAGGCACGGAGAGAGAAAGGGAAGAUUUAAGAAGCCUUUGAGAGAGUUCCCAUCUCGACUCAGUGGUAACGAACCCGACUGGUAUCCCAGAGGACGUGGGUUCGAUCCCUGGUCCGAGCAGUGGGUUAAGGAUCCGGCGCUGCUGUGAGUUGGGGUCGCGAUAUGGCUCAGAUCCUGCAUUGCUGUGGCUGUGGUGUAGGCUGGCAGCUGCAGCUCCAAUUUGACCUCUAGCCUGAGAACUUCCAUAUGCCUUGGGUGUGGCCC